rnacentral:rRNA from 1 species
AUUGAACGCUGGCGGCAGGCCUAACACAUGCAAGUCGAGCGGAUGAAGGGAGCUUGCUCCUGGAUUCAGCGGCGGACGGGUGAGUAAUGCCUAGGAAUCUGCCUGGUAGUGGGGGAUAACGUCCGUAAACGGGCGCUAAUACCGCAUACGUCCUUAGGGAGAAAGUUGGGGAUCUUCGGACCUCACGCUAUCAGAUGUGCCUAGGUCGGAUUAGCUAGUUGGUGGGGUAAAGGCCUACCAAGGCUACGAUCCGUAACUGGUCUGAGAGGAUGAUCAGUCACACUGGAACUGAGACAGGGUCCAGACUCCUACGGGAGGCAGCAGUGGGGAAUAUUGGACAAUGGGCGAAAGCAUGAUCCAGCAAUGCCGAGUGUGUGAAGAAGGACUUCGGAUUGUAAAGCACUUUAAGUGGGGAGGAAGGGAAGUAAGUUAAUACCUUGCUGUUUUGACGUUACCAACAGAAUAAGCAACGGCUAACUACGUG